rnacentral:lncRNA from 1 species
GGCAGAGAGCAGAAGCAGGCAGGCCUGCACGGCCUGCACAUAUCAUUCAAGCCUAAGCCUGCUACAGUUAGCAGUACAGUAAAUUCCCAGCUUACCUGGAAUCACUUUCGUUUAUAGUAUCCUCAUAGGUUGGCUUUAUUUUGGGUGAUUGAAGUGCUGUUGGCCGAGUUUUAAUUUAGCCUUGGGCGGGAGCACUAUUUUGAGUUCCUUUAAUAUUGCAAUGAGACAAAAAAGGCAGAGAGCAGAAGCAGAGAGGCCAUCACGGCCUGCACGGCCUGCACAUAUCAUUCAAGCCUAAGCCUGCUACAGUUAGCAGAACAGUAAAUUGUUAAGUUUCUGUGACAUGUGACUCAUUCUCUCUAUAAGAAUGUAUCUGUUGUUUGCAGGCUCACUUGUUGCUAAUGUAUAUCUUAGGCAGACAGAGUGGAGCCAGAGGCUCUCUGUGCCUCCAGUGAGCACUCUGUGUAUGCUCUUUAACUAUGCUGUUUCUGAACAAGUUUAUUUUCUUCAAGUUUGUUUUUCCCUGAUAGUGGCGACUGCCAAUUUAGAGACGAGCCAUUGUGGCUUAGUGGCUAGAGUACAGGACUAGGACCUGGGAGACAGGGUUCAUAUCCCUCACUUAGCCAUUGUUAUAACAAGGCAAAACAAGCUGCUCCUUUUGGACUAUUUUGUUGCUGGGUAGUUUGGCCCAUUUGUGAUAUUGCUCCCAAAAAGAACUUUGGGUUUCUUGAGGAGGUGCUUCCCUCUAAAGGGCAAGCAGGGGUACCUGGACAUGCGGUGGGCUGCCUCGAGUUUGUUAUCUCAUUGGAAACAUUUAUGUCUGGCCUAGCAGGUGAUCCUAGGGCUUGGCCUGCUUGGCCCUAGAAUUUGAUGGCCUCUGGCAGCGUUUCUGGCCUGAAUAGCGUCCCCAUGUGGUGCACAAAGCAUUGGUUUCACCUGUUCCUCACAUUGUUUAGGUUUUUCUUUUCGCAGACUAUGACAGGGCCUUUGCAGAUGCCUCCAGAGCUUGCCUCUCCUGCAGAGGAUGACUUGUUGAUGCCCCAGGUGCCUUCUUCAGGAAGGAAGCGUCUUCAGAGGCAGGAAAAAGCAUAGCAGGGAUGAUGCUUACACCUCCUUGCAGGUAAAUUAUCACUGGGCUCUGAUGAUGAUUCAGACAUCACCUUGGACCUCUCCAGGGGUCAGGGUGAGGCUGUUCCAGGUCUUUAGGGAGCAUCCUGGAUAGCUCAGCUGGCCAGCGUAUGGUGCCAGUAAUGCCUAGGUUGCAGGAUUGGUCCCUGUAUGGGACAGCUGCAUGCUCCCUCAUCACUUUACCCGGACACUGAGGUCCAGCGCCGAGGGCCUUUCUGGUGGUUCCCUCACUGUGAGAAGCCAAGUUACAGGGAACCAGGUGGAGGGCUUUCUCGGAAGUGGCACCUGCCCUGUGUGGUACACCCUCCCACCAGAUGUCUACUACCAGACUUUUAGAAGACAUCUAAGGCAGCCCUGUUUAGGGAAGCUUUUAAUGUUUGAUGCAUUACUGUAUUUUAAUAUUUUGUUGGAAGCUGCCCAGAGUGGCUGGGGAAGCCCAGCCAGAUGGGCGGGGUACAAAUAAAUGAUGAUGAUGAUGAUGAUGAUGAUGAUGAUAUUGUGGGAGAGUGGACUAGAUGAUCCUAGGAGUCCCUUCCAACCCCACUAUUCUAUAAGUGGCAAUUCACUAUGAUGGGAAUGUUAGACGCAGGGCUGCCAUCAUCCCCUUAGCUCGCUAGGAUCGUAGGGACGGGGACAUGUGGACCACUUGCGCAGCUCCACAUUUCAAAUGGAAAUUCCCUGAGCAAUAGAACCUGAAGCUGGUAUGCAGGAAGCUGGCCCGGUGGCAGCUUUGUUGGGACUUCUUUAGGGUCUCUGGCCAGUGUUGGCCCUGUAAAUUUACACAUCAUGGUGGCAACACAAGGCAGGGCUUCUUGCCCAAGCGGGAGCUGGCAAGCAAUAACUCAAUACCUCUCGCCCAUAUUUCCAUAGAAAUAUCUCCCUUUAAAGCCUGGCUAAAAGGUUAUCUAGAUGCGUCAGCAGCUUUGUGCUUGUGGGAAGGGUUUUUCCCCAAGGUUUCGGGAUUCCUCUGGCUUUUCUGCCAGUGGCUCAGAAUACAGCAACUCAAAAGUCAGUUAGAGUCUGUGGUAGCCAGAAAGUCUGUGGUAGCCAGAAAGGAGGUUAGGAAGCAGCUUGCAUUGGGACGUAUGGUGGGAUCCCCUUGAUUCUCCUUCUAGUCCCGAUUUUCAUUUAUCCCCAUUGGGGAUCGUCCCUAAGAAAGCCCCAUAUAAUUCCAUCUGAUCCAUAUUUAUCGCACCCCAAAGGCACCUCAGUGAAUGAUGCUAUCCCUCCGGAAUUGUUCCGUGAAAUAUGCAUCUUUGGAUCAGGCAGUUGAGCUUACCAACAAAUUGGAGGAGGUGCCUUGUUGGCAUUAUGCGAUAUUGAAUUGGCUGUUAGGCUGCUGCCGGUUCACCCUCAAGAUUUUAAGUAGUUAGGCUUUAAUUGGAUGGUCCUUAUAUGGAUAAGGCGUUGCCAGUUGUUUGCUCAAUAGGCUGUGCAGCACUUGAGUCCUUUAGCGCCUUUCUGGAUUGAACAUUGCGAGUCAAGACUCGUUUAACUGGGGGUAUCGUUAUGUGGAUUAUUUUACUGGCUGGUUCAUGUGACACCAGCCUCUGCUUAGCUUACUAGAUGCCCCUUUAUUCCCUGAGGAGCUGGGUGUUCUGUUGGCAGUGGAGGACAGUGGCUCCUACUGCCCCUUUUAAUGUAUUUGGGGGCUAGCUGGAUACCGUUGCUCAAACAUCUGCUUGCCUGUGGAAAAGCUGUUUGCCUUGAAGGAUGUUAUUCUUGUAAUACUUCCUCUGAAGCAAGUGUUGCUUUGUCAGAUCCUAUCAUUCCUAGGUCAGUUAAAUUUUGCAUGCAGGGUGGUUGCUCCAGGCUGCCCCUUCCAUUCCUGCUUGGCCAGGUGGUCUCAUGGCCCAGUGUCCCUUCAUCAUCAUGUACAGUGGCCUUGAGCCUGGCAGGGCAAGGCAAUCACAUGUAACCUAACUUUUCUUGAGUUUUCCUCAUUGUAGUGUCAGCGCACAUCUGGACUGAGGAGUUUAGGGACCGUCAGGUAUGUCUUGGUCUGAUAACCAGGCAGUGUGAGAGUCCUGGCAAAACGGUCUUCAUGCUCUGGCAGAGUCUUUGCACUGCUUAAGGUUUAAUAUUGCGUUUCUGCUCACUUUAUUUCGGGAUCAUCUAAUGUUUUUGCUGUGGCUCUAUCCCGUUUUUUCAGUUGGAAAGCUUCAGAUCCUGGGCUCUGGACACCCAGCUAUUUUUCUGGAGCUCCUGUGGCACUUGGCAACAAUUAAUAAUUAUGAGGAAUAGUAGCUUACGUUUCCCCAUCCGCUUUCAGGUCUUAUGAGAAGGCCUGGACUGAUUUCUUAAAAUUUAGCUGGUAGUCCUCGGCCAUUCAGAGGAACCUGCCCCCAUCCUCUGAGCAGGACCUGCAGUAAUUCGCCCACCUGCUGCAGAUAGGAUACAGUGUUAAAACUAUCAGAAUUCAGUCCGCUGCAAUUUCUGCUAGAGUAAAGCUUUAAUUUUCAGAGACCCUUCUAAAAGUGUGUCAUGCGCAGGGUCUCGGAAGGUUGGAAUAGGCUCUGACCUUCACAGGACAGCAGGCAGGAAGCCGGUCAAUCUUUGACCUAUGCAGUAUCUGCAACAAGUUGAGACUUGUUGGCUGGUUCAAGAUCAAGACGAGACUUAUUUCAGUAUUCCAUUGUAAUUUUGGUGUACUGAGGGUUGGGGAAAUUGUGUUGGAGCCAGCACGGGGCUGAGAGUUUGGAGGCUUAUUGCCUCAGGACUUUUCCUUAUCUGCUUUGGAGCUUGUCAUAAGUGUCUGGAGCUCUAAGUCAGACCUAGUGAGCAGGGUUGCCACCAUCAGGCUUCCAGUCACAGGUGAGGUGGGCCCUUGCCCUGUUAUUGGAUACCGGAAAUAUUUGGCUUUUCGUUCCCCUGGGGGCUGGCUCGAUCCUAGUGCACAGAAAUGGGUUCCGGUUCGACAGGCAUCUAAUUGCUCACGUCGUGCGCCAGUUAUUGCAGCCUGCAGCUUGCCUACCGCUGAACACGCCUCAUUCCUUCCAAAUAGGUGCUGCUGCAGAGGGUGCGCAUUGGGGCCUGUUAGUGGACAGGAUUGUGAAUACGGGUCAUUGGAAGUCUGACGCUGACAAAGGUUAUGUCAGGAAGCAUCGCCAAUGAUGCCUGUGCUGAUGCCUGUCUGUUAUUCCUUUUUUCAUAGGAGCAGCUGUGCGCAUUUGGAUUGUCGGCCACAGCAUCAUGCACUGAGCUGGCAAGCACCCUGACGAGUCUGGACUGGGGGCGCCAUCUCGGCCUUCCUGCCCAUGUUUCUAGCUCCAGUCCGCAUCUGGAUAGUGGGGCACAGCAUCGUUUACUGGGCUGGCAUCAGAGCUAGGCAGUCUGGAAGGGGACUGGGUCUUGGCCUCCCGCAGCAUGUGCAGGUGUUGUGGAUGUCCAGGCGCAGAAUGCAGUGGAGCGAAUUCAUCCCGCUAAUUAAGCAGAGGGUGCUUUCGGAUGCCCCCCCCCAUGGCAAUUGUGGUUCAGCUGGGGGAGAACGAUGUGGCAACUUAUGAUUGCUUUACUUUGCGCUCCACGAUUCAGAGAGACUUGGGUGAAUUGGUGACCUUAAUACCCACAGUUAAAAUAUUUUGGUCACAAUUGCUGCAAAGGCGCAAUUGGCACGGCAUUUCUCGACCUGAGGCUGCUGAAAGGGCCAGGAAGCGCAUUAAUUCUGCAGUGUGUAAGAAGGUGGCGGAAUUGGGUGGGUUGGUUAUUUCCCGCCCGGAUAUUACCUUCAAGGCUCUGGCCCUUUACCGCAAUGAUGGAGUACAUCUCUCUGUACUGGGGAAUGAUGUUUGGUUGGAUGCGGUAACUGCAAGGUUGAAGGUUGGGUUGGGAUUGUGAGUGGUUGGCGGCGAGCGAAAAGGGCUCGAUUGGCGGUUAGGCAUUGGUUAUAAAUUGGUGGAGGAGGGGUUAGGAUAGGCUGGGCCUGCCCCUCCAUGGUUGCUGCGGAAAGGGAAUUCCGUUAAAGGAAUCCUGGGGCUUGCCAUCUUUUCGUCCAAUCCCUGGAAUGGGACUAGGGCCGGCAAGCCUUCGGGGAGCAUGCGGAUGAGAAUUGAGGGUCUGUGACCCAGCUCCAUUUCUCUCCGACUUGCUUUCCCCCGCACUGUCUUUCGGUGGUGCCCGGAAGUCAGUUCUGUCCCCAGGCGGGGGGACAGAUAGUCUUAACCAAUGCCUAAACAACCACUCACAGUUUUGUAUUUAAAUAAAGUUGUGGCCAAAAUUAUGCCAAAAACCUUAAACAAAAAUUAAGUGUGCGUUGUGAGUUAUUUGGGGGGUGGCUUGGGGACC